UAGUGGCAACAAGCACUUGCAACAAGCACUUGCUGGAGCCCCUCGGUGCCAGGACUUGUGCCAAGUGCAGAUAGAGAAGCAAAGGAGUAGAGACAAGGCCCCAGGCCUGAAGGCUCUCACAAAACAGGGGAGGUGGGCUGUGCCGGGAAAGGGCUAGAGUUAGAGUCGAUCGGACAGCAAUGAAGCGCGAUGCAAAACAAAAAGGGGAGAGCUGUGGCUUCUACUUUGAAGGCUUCAGUGAAGAGGCACAGUGACUGCUGUGGCCCUCCCUGGGACUGACCUCCUAGCGCUGAAGAUUCUAGCACCUAGCACUGAAAAUCUCACAUCCCAGGGAACCCCUUGGUCCCAGGAAUUCUUUCCUAAUAUUUUCAGGGCAUGGCAUGAGGAGUUUGGAGCUCAGGUAAGAGGAAUCUCCAGGUGAACAUAUUCAGAACAGCACUCAAUUCUCCCUUGUGCCUCCUAAGUGAACUCUACCCAGCUUUCCCCCAUCUCAGAAACGGUACCACCAUUUACACAGAAACUUGGGAAUCGUCCUGAGUUUUAAUCCCCACAUAGACACAAACAAUUCAUCAAAUAAGUCACAUAAAUUCUACCUCCAAAAAGAAUCUUGAAUCUAUCCACCUGUCU
rnacentral:lncRNA from 1 species